GACGAACGCUGGCGGCGUGCUUAACACAUGCAAGUCGAACGGAAAGGCCCUGCUUUUGUGGGGUGCUCGAGUGGCGAACGGGUGAGUAACACGUGAGUAACCUGCCCUUGACUUUGGGAUAACUUCAGGAAACUGGGGCUAAUACCGGAUAGGAGCUCCUGCUGCAUGGUGGGGGUUGGAAAGUUUCGGCGGUUGGGGAUGGACUCGCGGCUUAUCAGCUUGUUGGUGGGGUAGUGGCUUACCAAGGCUUUGACGGGUAGCCGGCCUGAGAGGGUGACCGGCCACAUUGGGACUGAGAUACGGCCCAGACUCCUACGGGAGGCAGCAGUGGGGAAUAUUGCACAAUGGGCGGAAGCCUGAUGCAGCAACGCCGCGUGCGGGAUGACAGCCUUCGGGUUGUAAGCCGCUUUCGCCUGUGACGAAGCGUGAGUGACGGUAAUGGGUAAAGAAGCACCGGCUAACUACGUG
rnacentral:rRNA from 1 species